GCACCGAUGGUGAAGCGGUUAUCAUGCUUGCCUUCUAAGCAAGCGAGCGGCACGGGUUCGACUCCCUCGGUCUG